rnacentral:rRNA from 1 species
UACGGAGGUUGCAAGCGUUAUCCGGAAUCACUGGGUUUAAAGGGUGCGUAGGCGGUUCGAUAAGUCAGAGGUGAAAGCUAGCAGCUUAACUGUUGAAUUGUCUUUGAUACUGUUGGACUUGAAUCAAGUUGAGGUAGGCGGAAUGUGACAUGUAGCGGUGAAAUGCAUAGAUAUGUCAUAGAACACCAAUUGCGUAGGCAGCUUGCUGGGCUUGAAUUGACGCUGAGGCACGAAAGCGUGGGGAUCAAACAGG